AUACCAGCACCCCGAGUGGUCGGGACGAUUAUUGGGCCUAAAGCAUCCGUAGCCGGUUUUACAAGUCCUCCGUUAAAUCCAGCUGCUUAACAGAUGGGCUGCGGAGGAUACUAUAAGACUAGGAGGCAGGAGAGGCAAGCGGUACUCAGUGGGUAGGGGUAAAAUCCAUUGAUCUACUGAAGACCACCAGUGGCGAAGGCGGCUUGCCAGAACGCGCUCGACGGUGAGGGAUGAAAGCUGGGGGAGCAAACCGGAUUAGAUACCCGGGUAGUCCCAGCUGUAAACGAUGCAGACUCGGUGAUGAGUUGGCUUCUUGCCAACUCAGUGCCGCAGGGAAGCCGUUAAGUUUGCCGCAUGGGGAGUACGGUCGCAAGACUGAAACUUAAAGGAAUUGACGGGG
rnacentral:rRNA from 1 species